GGCCCGUUGGUCUAGUGGUAUGAUUCUUGCUUUGGGACGAGCUUUGCUCAAUAAUGCAAGAGGGUACGUAUCUCCAAAUCUUCCGAUCUUCGACCACUCGCUCACACUACCCAGCCCCGCGUUCGAAUCGCGGACGGGCCC